CACACCCCACGUCUCUCCCUUUCCCCUCACCCAAACCCUAGUAACGCCACGAGGAGAAAACCCUCUCUCCUCAUCACCAUUGCCUGAAACGACAAAGUGGCAUGUGGUACACGCUUUUUACAAUCGUGGUUCGACCAUUUGAGGCAACAAUUGAUGCUUCGUCUCCAUUCUUCACCAAACACAACCUUAACAUGAUAAUUUUUGCUUUUUCCUUUAUCUUUUUACUGAAAUACGGGUCAACGAGUACAGUUUGAAACCCUCGAAUCUCAUUGGUUUGUUCAAAAGCUAUGAGGAUCCAUUGGGAUUGUUCAAAUUUGACCCUCCAUCGCAUGUACUUGCUUAAAUCAUAGCCAUUGACACUCGAAUUGAAGGGUUUUGAUUCACAAAUUUCCAUUCAUCCCACAUCGAAAACCCUAGGUCUUGGGGAUUUUAGGGGUUCUACAUAAAGAACCCCCAUUCAUAGUUUAAAGAGAUAGAGAUAUUCAUCCAAAAAAAAAAACUCAAAUACCUAGGGUUUUCACCAUAAAAAGUGCGAGAACCUUUAAAUUUUGAGUUAAGUUUAUGUUUUAAAAUUUGAUUGUUUGUGUUGUGUGUGGCUGAGGUGAUUUGGGAACAAGGAAAAUCUCCGAGUCCAACCUCGACUUGGCUGCACAAGCAAAAGGGUACCACCUAGGCGCGCUUCUCUUUUUUCAUAUACCAUGUUGGGCCUGAGGCCCAACUCUCUUGAUCGAGUCCAUAUGAUUAUAGAAAUGGAAGCUAAUAUGUUGAAGGCCAAGUCAUGGGUGAAAAUGGCACUGAUGGGCUUGGGUAGGCCCAUCAGUUGGAAUUUACUUUCUUCCCUUUUCUAUUCCCUGUAUAUCCUAUGUAUGUAUAGUGUAUGUGUAAUGAACAUGUAAAUAUUGAAACCCUCUUAUGUAUGUUUAGAAUUUAGGAAAACCUAGUAUUAUUAGGAGUCACCUAAA